GACGAACGCUGGCGGCGCGCCUAACACAUGCAAGUCGAACGGAGCGCAGUUGAAGAACCACUUCGGUGGUGAUUUGGCUGUUGCUUAGUGGCGAACGGGUGAGUAACACGUGAGCAACCUGCCCUUCAGUGGGGGACAACAUUUGGAAACAGAUGCUAAUACCGCAUAAGACCACGGUGUCGCAUGGCACUGAGGCCAAAGCAGCAAUGCGCUGAAGGAGGGGCUCGCGCCCGAUUAGGUAGAUGGUGGGGUAAAGGCCUACCAUGCCGACGAUCGGUAGCCGGACUGAGAGGUUGAACGGCCACAUUGGGACUGAGACACGGCCCAGACUCCUACGGGAGGCAGCAGUGGGGGAUAUUGCACAAUGGGCGAAAGCCUGAUGCAGCGACGCCGCGUGAGGGAAGAAGGUUUUCGGAUUGUAAACCUCUGUCUUCGGGGACGAAGAAGUGACGGUACCCGAGGAGGAAGCCACGGCUAACUACGUGCCAGCAGCCGCAGUAACAC
rnacentral:rRNA from 1 species